rnacentral:ncRNA from 1 species
UGGAAGCUUGGCUCUGACUUGUAUAUACAACAAAGAUAAGGAAAUACACAUGGCACUUAUUUAGAAGAGGUGAGGAUAAACAAUAUUAGUACUUGUGUGAAAAACACAGGUAUUAAUAUUCCUAUUAGUAUUAUAAACUGUAUGAUGCUUUGCUAUGUCCCACUAACACCAGUGAUUGAUAUUAAAUUAAAGGCGAAAGCUUGACUUAGGUUAAUUUUUAAGGUCUGGUUAACUUGGUGCCAGCAUCCGCGGUUAUACCAAGAUGGCCAAGUUGUAUUAAAUACGGUAAAAAGACAGUUAAGUAUAUAAUAUUGUUAUUAGAUUUUUUGUUUAAGGGUGCAAUCUGAAUUCAAAUAAAGAUUUUUAAAAUAACAUAUAAACUGAGGCUGUGAAGAUCUAGAGGGAAACUAGGAUUAGAUACCCUAUUAUUCUUGAUAGUAAAUUGACACUAAGUAUCUACCAGAGUACUACGAAACAUAAUAAAAUUUAAAACUCAAAGGGCUUGGCGGUGCUUUAGACCACUUAGGGGAACCUGUCUCAUAAUCGACAAUCCACGUAAAACCUUACCUUAAUUUGCUUUCAGUAUGUAUACCGUCGUCGACAGGUAACUUUUAAGAAAUAAGAAGUUAGCAAAAUAAGAUUCUAAUAUAGUUUAUCUAUUACGUCAGAUCAUGGUGCAGCUCAUAUUAAGGAGAGGAUGGGUUACAAUUAAAAUUUAUAACUACGGAGAAAAAUAAGAAUCUUAUUUUUGGAAGGAGGACUUAAAAGUAAAUGUAAUUAAAUAAAUAUAUUGAAUAUGGCUCUGAAGCGUGCACACAUCGCCCGUCGCUCUCGUUGAAAAAUGAGAUAAGUCGUAACAUAGUAGGAGUAAUGGAAAUUGCUCCUUGCUGAAA